UCGGGUGACGAGCGGCGGACGGGUGAGUAAUGUCUGGGAAACUGCCUGAUGGAGGGGGAUAACUACUGGAAACGGUAGCUAAUACCGCAUAACGUCGCAAGACCAAAGUGGGGGACCUUCGGGCCUCAUGCCAUCAGAUGUGCCCAGAUGGGAUUAGCUAGUAGGUGGGGUAACGGCUCACCUAGGCGACGAUCCCUAGCUGGUCUGAGAGGAUGACCAGCCACACUGGAACUGAGACACGGUCCAGACUCCUACGGGAGGCAGCAGUGGGGAAUAUUGCACAAUGGGCGCAAGCCUGAUGCAGCCAUGCCGCGUGUAUGAAGAAGGCCUUCGGGUUGUAAAGUACUUUCAGCGGGGAGGAAGGCGAUAAGGUUAAUAACCUUGUCGAUUGACGUUACCCGCAGAAGAAGCACCGGCUAACUCCGUGCCAGCAGCCGCGGUAAUACGGAGGGUGCAAGCGUUAAUCGGAAUUACUGGGCGUAAAGCGCACGCAGGCGGUCUGUCAAGUCGGAUGUGAAAUCCCCGGGCUCAACCUGGGAACUGCAUUCGAAACUGGCAGGCUAGAGUCUUGUAGAGGGGGGUAGAAUUCCAGGUGUAGCGGUGAAAUGCGUAGAGAUCUGGAGGAAUACCGGUGGCGAAGGCGGCCCCCUGGACAAAGACUGACGCUCAGGUGCGAAAGCGUGGGGAGCAAACAGGAUUAGAUACCCUGGUAGUCCACGCCGUAAACGAUGUCGAUUUGGAGGUUGUGCCCUUGAGGCGUGGCUUCCGGAGCUAACGCGUUAAAUCGACCGCCUGGGGAGUACGGCCGCAAGGUUAAAACUCAAAUGAAUUGACGGGGGCCCGCACAAGCGGUGGAGCAUGUGGUUUAAUUCGAUGCAACGCGAAGAACCUUACCUGGUCUUGACAUCCACAGAACUUAGCAGAGAUGCUUUGGUGCCUUCGGGAACUGUGAGACAGGUGCUGCAUGGCUGUCGUCAGCUCGUGUUGUGAAAUGUUGGGUUAAGUCCCGCAACGAGCGCAACCCUUAUCCU
rnacentral:rRNA from 1 species